rnacentral:rRNA from 1 species
UACGAAGGGGGCUAGCGUUGCUCGGAAUCACUGGGCGUAAAGGGUGCGUAGGCGGGUCUUUAAGUCAGGGGUGAAAUCCUGGAGCUCAACUCCAGAACUGCCUUUGAUACUGAAGAUCUUGAGUUCGGGAGAGGUGAGUGGAACUGCGAGUGUAGAGGUGAAAUUCGUAGAUAUUCGCAAGAACACCAGUGGCGAAGGCGGCUCACUGGCCCGAUACCUGACGCUGAGGCACGAAAGCGUGGGGAGCAAACAGG